rnacentral:rRNA from 1 species
UACGUAGGGUGCGAGCGUUUAAUCGGAAUUACUGGGCGUAAAGCGUGCGCAGGCGGUUCGCUAAGACCGAUGUGAAAUCCCCGGGCUUAACCUGGGGAACUGCAUUGGUGACUGGCGGGCUAGAGUAUGGCAGAGGGGGGGUAGAAUUCCACGUGUAGCAGUGAAAUGCGUAGAGAUGUGGAGGAAUACCGAUGGCGAAGGCAGCCCCCUGGGCCAAUACUGACGCUCAUGCACGAAAGCGUGGGGAGCAAACAGG